rnacentral:lncRNA from 1 species
CAUGGAAAUAAAUAAAGGUCAGUGUCAUGGUUGGUCUUUAUUAUUAAUAAUAUCUUUUCUGUUUUAAGUACAUCAAAUUUCACGGAGUUAGCCUUAUUCCAUCUUUAUAAGACAGGUCACACGAAUCCUUUGCCAUUCAGAUUUGUCUUGGGAAAUGAACUGUUGAAAAUUAUUACAUGAACAUUGGUGGCAUAUGUGCUACUUGCGACUUCCAUUUAUUUGUAUUUGUAGAUAAUAUUAAUUUGUUUACUUGAUAAUUUAGAUAUAUCUGGAGGUUUUCCUCCUCAUCGAGUGGUGGAGGGUCUGUUUUUUGAAGCUUUCCCCUUUCUCUUUUAAGGAUCAUGCUACAUGUACAUUAAGAUUUACAUAAGAGAUUACAUAAUUUUUACAUGUUACUCUACCAUUUGUCAGUUUAAUAUAUAAUUAACUUUUACAUCCAAUCUUUUCCCUCCACAUCAUUUUGAUAACUGUUUAUGUACCAUUUUUAUGUACAAGUAGCAAAAUCCUUUGAAAAAAACAUGGUUUUGUAGAUCUUGCAAUUAUCUAAUAUGCUGAUGAUUGAUUACAGAUGCAGAUUUGAGAGAGGCGUAAGCAUCUGGGAGAACUUUCCGUUUAAUCUUGUUUGUCUUGGUUGGUUUGAUGUCAAAAGAAAACCUUCUGAACUGAAAUCUUGUUCUCUAUUUGGUUUGAUUCACAAAAUCAAGGUGUUUCUUGGUUGACCAAAUUCAGAGUUUAAUUGAUUUCCAGUUUUGUCUAUUAAAGGUAAUCUUUUAUAUUCUAACCAAAUCGUGCAUUGAAUUCAAGCAUCACAUUUUUACAAAGCAUUUACCCUCUCUAUCUUUUGGUAUCUAAAAAGUCGAAUAGAAUUCGUAGAGCAUGGAUGUUAAGUGCUAAUGGAUCCAAUACACACUCUAAAAUUUUGUUUGAUUCUGCUGCUGGUUUAUUAGAAGUUAGGGUCUAUAUUUAAAAUAAAGUUAUUUGUACAAUUAUUGUUGACAAUCCACGUGUUGUCAAGAUAUGUUUGGUUGAUUUAAAAAACUGUUUUUAAAAUGGAUGGUGUAGAUUUUGCUAACUCAUGAUUCACGUAACUAUAAUUUUGAGGUGUCAAAAUCUUAGUGAAAUAUAAAGAAUUUUUAUUUUUGUAAUUUUUCAAAUAUGUGGCUCCAUUGUGUUAAUUGAUGUAUUUUUUAUUUUUUUUUUAUUUCUUUUGAGAAACUUUAAUUUCUAUUUUUAUUUCAAACUGUGCAAUGUUUUGUGUAGUAUUAAAUGAAUAUCUAGAAGUCCAGACUUCAGAGUGCUUUUGUGGAAAGAGAAGCUAGUUGAACACAAGGACAAUUGUGAAAAUUUAUUUUCAAAUGCCUUAAAUUAGUACGUCCUAGUCAAAAUUGUCAGAAUAAAUGAGAAUGGCUUUCCAAUGGCCAAUUUUCUUCUGAAAAUGAGGUGAAAAAGCUGGCCCAAAUAGGUCUUAAGGCUCAAUUUAAUGGAAAUUACGUGGAAGCUUACUUUUAAAAAUUACAUUUCGAAAAUCAGAUUCAAGGUUUGUUUAUAUAAUAAUAUAAUUUUUAAAUAGUAAUAAUAAUCUUAUAAAAAUAAUUUAAUCUACAUAAUCACCCCCACCCCAUCCAACCCAAACCCUAACAUUAACCAUAAAUCUUUUUCCAUUUCUAUUCUCUUUAUCUAUCUUCUCCGUCGUCUCUCUUCUAUUGCUGUCGAGAGACCCACCUCCAGCACAUAGCAGGUGAUGACACACACAGCAGCAUUGUGCACAACGACAACAACACACAACGUUGCUUUAGCAAGUCAGCAACUGCGAACAGCAGUGUCGUCAAAAGCCAUCGGAAGCCAUAGCAGUAACGUCGCGCACAGCGAGCAAUGACAAUGCUAUUGUGUGCGGCAUUGCUGCAGCAAUUGUGCGCCCUUGCACAUAGUCCCUCUUGAAACUACCGUUCUUUAUUCUUCCAUUCGUCGAUGCUGUUGAGGCUACAGUAGUUGCGCUGGUGCUAUUGAGGUGGUGGUGACGACAAUGGUGUUGAUGCCAAUGGAGUGGGAUGGGUGGGAAGAGGGGUGCUGUGUGAGCAAUAUAUGGUUGAUUGUGACCAUUAAAUAAACUGUGACCAAUAAUUUGGUUAAUUUGUGAUGAAGAAAUAAUAUGCGACCUAAAAAAUAUUAUUGUGAUUUAUAAUUUAUUAAGUUGUGAUCGAGAAAUUAUUUGUAACCAAUUCAUUCGAUAAUUUGUGACUAUUAAAUAAGUUGUGAUUUUUUAACCGAUGAAUAAAUUGUAAACUAUAACAUUUUUAAUUUGCGAUCGAGAAAUAAUUUUUGACCUAUAAUUUUUUGAUCCCUGUCCAAGAAAUAAUUCGUGACUAAGUAAUUCAACAAUUGUGACCUUAAUAUAUUUAAUUAAUAAAAUAUAAUUUUAAUUAAUUAUUUGAUAAAUAAAAUUUAAUUAAUAUAUGAUUUUUGAAGUUUUAAACAUUGUUUCUUAAUUUAAAAAUAGAUCAUACAUAAUCUCUUACAUAUGAAAUUUCCCCCUGAAUUUAUUUGUUGGUAUAGAAAAACUCAACAUACAGAAACAGACAGCAUUGCCUAAAAAAGAAUUCACAUUUGUUUCCCACUAAAUAUCAACAAAUUUUCAUUUUUAUUUUUGCAUGUUUCCAUAAAGUUAAUGAAAUAACAAUAAACAAUAUUAAUGAACAUCAUGACGGAAGAUAAGAUGUAACAAAAUAACAUCAUAAUACAUGUAGUUACUCAAUAUUACGUGUUCUACAACUCGACAAAUCUAACAAUAGCUGUUUUUCCACAAACAUCAUUAACAUACCACAUAAUGAAUGCUAAAAGAAUUUCAUGGUGAAGAAGAAGAGAACUGUUCAAACCUGAUUCAUUCUUUCACACUCUGUUUUCCAUCAAGCAUUGCAAUACAACAUGAUUAAAAGCUUGUAUCUUAGUCAGCUCUCGAUUGGCCAGCUCGUGACGACAAAAGAAUUUCAACAAUGAGGCCAUAAAGGGCCAAAGCUUUAGCAAAAAUGAAAAUCAGAAUGAUCCCAAGAAAAAGCUUCGUUGUUGUGCAUUAGCGCUACAACAUAGUUAAAAAACUGAUAUGAAGGCUGGUUUAAAAGUUAUUUCUCCCAGCCUAGUAUUCUUCAUAUUUAUAGAUGGAUUACAAGUAUUUGAAAAUAACAGAAAGAUACAAUUAGGAAGUUUGUUUAGAUAUUCUAAUAUCAUCUGAUCUUGAGUCCUUGAUCUCAUUCUCUUCAUUUGAAUUCAAAAUCUGUGAGUUAUCUUUAAUAACAGAAAUGGAUAUAUCUCUAACAGCCCCCUUCAAGCGGAUGGGAAGAUCAUGAACCAUUAGCUUGUCUCGAAGUAAGUCAAAACGUGAUGAAGAGAGUCCUUUUGUGUAGAUGUCUGAAGGUUGUGCUAUAGUUGAGAUGUACUUAGCUUGGAUAUCUUUGUUAUAGAUCUUUUCACGAAUAAAAUGGUAAUCUACCUCUAUAUGCUUGGUUCGAGCAUGAAAAACUGGGUUAGAGGACAAUGCUAGAGCACUAAUAUUGUCAACCCAAAUGCAGGGAGCAGUAGGUAAAGAUAUAUGAAGUUCUUUGAAUAACAUCCUNNNNNNNNNNNNNNNNNNNNNNNNNNNNNNNNNNNNNNNNNNNNNNNNNNNNNNNNNNNNNNNNNNNNNNNNNNNNNNNNNNNNNNNNNNNNNNNNNNNNNNNNNNNNNNNNNNNNNNNNNNNNNNNNNNNNNNNNNNNNNNNNNNNNNNNNNNNNNNNNNNNNNNNNNNNNNNNNNNNNNUAUAAUUUUCAAUCAGAUACUUCCUUUCAUGACAUUGUUAUCUGUCUUUAAUGUAUUCCUCCUAGUCUAGUGCAAGUUGUGCUUUCACUUGUAUUUGGAGGGAAUCAAAUUGCUUUGUACGGCGUUACUGUUUUUCGUGUCUCUCAUGAUAUAUACUUGUAGAGCCAUCUAGUUUAUAGGGCCUAUUUGAGCCACAUUAUUUCAAAAAAAUACAUUCUUAAAUAAUGAUUUGACAUCAUUUCAACCACACAUUAUUCAAUAAAAUAAUAUUACACGCAAAUAAAAAAAAUUUCCUUAUUUUUUAACUGCACAUUUUUCAUCGAUAUACCAUUCAAGAAUGCAUUAUUACCAAAAUAAUGUUGCUCAAACACCCCCAUAGUAACUUUUUUGUUGCUGGUGCAGAUUGAAAUAAUAUACGACUAUGGUUGAGAAGAUACUGCUUAAAUUAUGAUGGUCUUUCAUGGAAAUAAAUAAAGGUCAGUGUCAUAGUUGGUCUUUAUUAUUAAUAAUAUCUUUUCUGUUUUAAGUACAUCAAAUUUCACGGAGUUAGCCUUAUUCCAUCUUUAUAAGACAGGUCACACGAAUCCAUUGCCAUUCAGAUUUGUCUUGGGAAAUGAACUGUUGAAAAUUAUUACAUGAACAUUGGUGGCAUAUGUGCUACUUGCGACUUCCAUUUAUUUGUAUUUGUAGAUAAUAUUAAUUUGUUUACUUGAUAAUUUAGAUAUAUCUGGAGGUUUUCCUCCUCAUCGAGUGGUGGAGGGUCUGUUUUCUGAAGCUUUCCCCUUUCUCUUUUAAGGAUCAUGCUACAUGUACAUUAAGAUUUACAUAAGAGAUUACAUAAUUUUUACAUGUUACUCUACUAUUUGUCAGUUUAAAAUAUAAUUAACUUUUGCAUCCAAUCUUUUCCCUCCGCAUCAUUUUCGAUAACUGUUUAUGUACCAUUUUUAUGUACAAGUAGCAAAAUCCUUUAAAAAAAACAUGGUUAUGUAGAUCUUGCAAUUAUCUAAUAUGCUGAUGAUUGAUUACAGAUGCAGAUUUGAGAAGGCAUAAACAUCUGGGAGAACUUUCCGUUUAAUCUUGUUUGUCUUGGUUGGUGUGAUGUCAAAAGAAAACCUUCUGAACUGAAAUCUUGUUCUCUAUUUGGUUUGAUUCACAAAAUCAAGGUGUUUCUUGGUUGAUCAAAUUCAGAGUUUAAUUGAUUUCCAGUUUUGUCU